GACGAACGCUGGCGGCGUGCUUAACACAUGCAAGUCGAACGGAAAGGCCCUGCUUUUGUGGGGUUCUCGAGUGGCGAACGGGUGAGUAACACGUGAGUAACCUGCCCUUGACUUUGGGAUAACUUCAGGAAACUGGGGCUAAUACCGGAUAGGAGCUCCUGCUGCAUGGUGGGGGUUGGAAAGUUUCGGCGGUUGGGGAUGGACUCGCGGCUUAUCAGCUUGUUGGUGGGGUAGUGGCUUACCAAGGCUUUGACGGGUAGCCGGCAUGAGAGGGUGACCGGGCACAUUGGGACUGAGAUACGGCGCAGAGUGCUACGGGAGGCAGUAGUGGGGAAUAUUGUCCAAUGGGAGGAAGUCUGAUGAAGAAACGUCCCGUGCGGGAUGACGGCCUUCGGGGUAUAAACCGCUUUAGCCUGUGACGAAGCGUGAGUGACGGUACUGGGUAAAGAAGCACCGGCUAACUACGUG
rnacentral:rRNA from 1 species